UACGGAGGGGGCUAGCGUUGUUCGGAAUUACUGGGCGUAAAGCGCGCGUAGGCGGGUUGGUAAGUCCGCUGUGAAAGCCCGGAGCUCAACUCCGGAGGGUCGGUGGAUACUGCCAGUCUUGAAGGUGCUAGGGGGAGAUGGAAUUACCGGUGUAGCGGUGAAAUGCGUAGAUAUCGGUAGGAACACCAGUGGCGAAGGCGGUCUCCUGGGCAUUCUUGACGCUGAGGCGCGAAAGCUGGGGGAGCGAACGGG
rnacentral:rRNA from 1 species